rnacentral:rRNA from 1 species
CACGCAGGCGGUCUUGUAAGUUUGACGUGAAAGCUCUCGGCUUAACUGGGAGAGGUCGUUAAGGACUGCAAGACUUGAGGAAAUGAGAGGGGUGUAGAAUUCCCGGUGUAGUGGUGGAAUGCGUAGAUAUCGGGGGGAAUACCAGUGGCGAAAGCGGCACCCUAGCAUUUUUCUGACGCUCAUGUGCGAAAGCGUGGGGAGCGAACG